UGGUUCCAUUCCAAUUAUGAGCCCUUCUAUUUCAUGUAAGAGAAACAAAACUGGAGAGAUGCUGGAUGCUGCCCUGACAAUAUGGAAGCAGUCUUGGAGAUACAGUGACCAUACGAAAAGAUUCUCCAGAACUAUUGUUGGUAUAUUGUACUGUAUACAACACUUGAUUAGGACGAAUCAGACCCAUUGUUUUCUAUUUUUAAAGCCCUUGGUGGGAAGAGUGAAAAGAUUCCCCGCAAAUAUAUAAGGCCAUCUGAAGAGAAACAGAUCGGUUAUUUUAUCCACGUCAUGCUUGGUGGAGUGAAGCUCCUUCUUAGAGGGCUUGGAGAGCAUGUGGUAAAUAUUAAGGGCUUGACUGAAAGUUUAGCACAUGAAGAGUUCUUAAACACCCACCCACUGGCUCUCUGAGCCAACAAUCAAGGCAAAAGGGAACGAACAGGUUCUCAGGCCCAUAGCGCACAGGAGGUGUUUGACAUGAGCCAAGUGGGACCCUGAAACAACAUGAGGGAAAACCUGGUACUCAUUACAUCCAAGUCUGUAGAUAUCCUUGGCACACUCGAUCUUAGUGAUGAAGACCCAGGCGGUGAAGAAACGGUGAGAUGCAUGGGGAGAAGAGAGGCAGACAGUCAAAAUGUGUCUGCAUAGGACCGAUGAUAAACUUGUGCUCAAUCCUUGAAAGCUGAGAAGCGGACAUGCACGUCUGCGAUGAACUAUUUUUUAAUGUAGUUUCUGUGCCCUUCAGCCCAUCACAUCAUAAUUGCUGCGGCAGAGAAGAAUCAAAGACAGAACUCCUUCUCUGUCUUUGCUGAACUGAAAGCUGUCCCACAUGUUUGAAAGCCUCUCCUUCUCCACCUCCUGUUGGACUCCUUAGCUUCCAUCAAAGCUCCUCUCAAUGGCUGAUUCCUAUAAGGAAGCCUUUCCUCAUCUCUCUAAGCUCCUGGUGGCCCCCUUUUGCAAAUUGCCUUAUAGUUACUUUGUAUCUAUUUUGUAUACUGAUAAAAUAUGUUUACAUGUUAUUUCCCCAAUAGAAUGUAAACUCC